rnacentral:rRNA from 1 species
AUUGAACGCUGGCGGCAUGCCUUACACAUGCAAGUCGAACGGUAACAGGUCUUCGGAUGCUGACGAGUGGCGAACGGGUGAGUAAUACAUCGGAACGUGCCCAGACGUGGGGGAUAACGAGGCGAAAGCUUUGCUAAUACCGCAUACGAUCUAAGGAUGAAAGCAGGGGACCGCAAGGCCUUGCGCGUUUGGAGCGGCCGAUGGCAGAUUAGGUAGUUGGUGGGAUAAAAAGCUUACCAAGCCGACGAUCUGUAGCUGGUCUGAGAGGACGACCAGCCACACUGGGACUGAGACACGGCCCAGACUCCUACGGGAGGCAGCAGUGGGGAAUUUUGGACAAUGGGCGAAAGCCUGAUCCAGCAAUGCCGCGUGCAGGACGAAGGCCUUGGUUGUAACUGCUUUGUACGGAACGAAAAGAACACUGGCUAAUACCUA